rnacentral:lncRNA from 1 species
CUACGGUAUAGAGAAGGCCCACAAGGCCGACAUCCAGAUGUAUUUUUCAGGGCACCUCAGCCCUCACUGCCUGACCAAGGCAAAAAGUCAGAGAAACGCAAAGACGUCCACCUGGGAGGCGUCUGUGUUCCAGGAGAAAGACAAGGACCUCAUGGGUCCAAGUAUCCGGAAUAAACACCACCACAGAGUGGCCGGUGUGGAGAAAAUGACCAGUUCCUUGGCCGACUUCACGCUCUCCGCCACGCUGCGGGAGCCGACGGGCUUCAGUUUAGGAGAGGGCGCUGAGCGCAAACUUCAUUUUCACGAAAACGUGGAGAAACAGCACAGGAGUGAAAAGGCCAGGCAGGUCAAGCCUCACCAUCCUGUCCCCAACCAUAUGAACCAGAGCCGGUACUGUCAAACAGGUCCGGUCUGGAAGGAUGAGCAGAAGAGGAUGAUGCGGUUUGAGAAAACUGUCACUAAGAUGCAGAGCCCGAAGGAGAUGCACUGCCUGAGAGCCAGGGCUCUGGAGAAGAAGCUGCAGCAGGAGCUUCUGAAACUCCCUGACCAGACCUGGCCCAGCAGAGAUCGCCUGGGGGUGUUCAGUGACGUCUUUGAUGACGUGUGUGACGACGGAGUAUGA